GAUGAAGAACGUAGCGAAAUGCGAUAAGUAAUGUGAAUUGCAGAAUUCAGUGAAUCAUCGAAUCUUUGAACGCACAUUGCGCCCGCCAGUAUUCUGGCGGGCAUGCCUGUUCGAGCGUCAUUUCAACCAUCAAGCCCCCGGCUUGUGUUGGGGACCUGCGGCUGCCGCAGGCCCUGAAAAGCAGUGGCGGGCUCGCUGUCACACCGAGCGUAGUAGAUUUUAUCUCGCUCAGGGCGUGCUGCGGGUUCCGGCCGUUAAACCACCUUCAUAACCCAAGGUUGACCUCGGAUCAGGUAGGAAGACCCGCUGAACUUAAGCAUAUCAUAAGCGGAGGA
rnacentral:misc_RNA from 1 species